GUAAUAGCUUAAAUCGUCUUCAUCUUCCUAAAUUAACGCAGUCAAGUCUUGAUCUUAUUUAAAUGGGGCAUUUUUGUGUAAUAUUGUAUUUAAUUAAUUAUUGAGACAUCAUUCUUUAAUCCUAGACAAUGGUUCAUGGUUACAGUCACGUGGCAUAUUACACCCAUGACAUGCUGGCAGCCUGUUUACAUGGCUUCUUUUUCUACGAAGAAUGCAAAGCACAAACGGGAAACGCAAAUGUUUGUGUUCGGGUAGCUUUUGACCUGUCCCGCGGAGUCAGACAUCGACAUUAAAAUCGUCACGCAGACAUAUUCACACAACACAUGAUCCAUCAAUGGCGAAGGUAUUAAGGAUAGAAAAACAAUCUUACGCUUCUCAUUUCUUCAUUGCGUGUUGUUGACUUUGGUAUUAUAAUAAACGUCGAUCUUCCA